UACGUAGGGACCGAGCGUUGUCCGGAUUCAUUGGGCGUAAAGAGCUCGUAGGCGGUCUGUCGCGUCGGUCGUGAAAACUUGGGGCUUAACCCUGAGCUUGCGGUCGAUACGGGCAUGACUGGAGUUCGGCAGGGGAGACUGGAAUUCCUGGUGUAGCGGUGAAAUGCGCAGAUAUCAGGAGGAACACCGGUGGCGAAGGCGGGUCUCUGGGCCGAUACUGACGCUGAGGAGCGAAAGCGUGGGGAGCGAACAGG
rnacentral:rRNA from 1 species